AUACAUACAACAUGGCUACAGGCAUUUGCUGAGGGUGGUCACUCAUUCAGCACAUGCUGCUAACCAGUUAUUAAUGCCCCUGACAUCUUUGGAGAAGUGUUUUCCCUUGUGCUCUCCCCCUGGAUCAACCCCUGGAUCCAACACUUCUCUCAGGAACUGAAAUUGUGCUGGAUUCUGCUGGCCAACUAAGGUUGUACUCUGUUAACUGAAUAGCAAUUCCUCAAUCAAAGUCUUU